rnacentral:rRNA from 1 species
AUGAACGCUGGCGGCGUGCCUAAUACAUGCAAGUCGAGCGAACAGACGAGGAGCUUGCUCCUCUGACGUUAGCGGCGGACGGGUGAGUAACACGUGGAUAACCUACCUAUAAGACUGGGAUAACUUCGGGAAACCGGAGCUAAUACCGGAUAAUAUAUUGAACCGCAUGGUUCAAUAGUGAAAGACGGUUUUGCUGUCACUUAUAGAUGGAUCCGCGCCGCAUUAGCUAGUUGGUAAGGUACGGCUUACCAAGGCAACGAUGCGUAGCCGACCUGAGAGGGUGAUCGGCCACACUGGAACUGAGACACGGUCCAGACUCCUACGGGAGGCAGCAGUAGGGAAUCUUCCGCAAUGGGCGAAAGCCUGACGGAGCAACGCCGCGUGAGUGAUGAAGGUCUUCGGAUCGUAAAACUCUGUUAUUAGGGAAGAACAAAUGUGUAAGUAACUAUGCACGUCUUGACGGUACCUAAUCAGAAAGCCACGGCUAACUACGUG